rnacentral:tRNA from 1 species
GUCCGGUGUAGCGGACGGUGGCGGGGGUGCUCUCCCGCAGGGCCAGGUGCAGUUCGGUGCUGCGGCGGGCCG